UACGGGGGGGGCAAGCGUUGUUCGGAAUUACUGGGCGUAAAGAGCUCGUAGGCGGUUUGUCGCGUCUGCUGUGAAAACUCGGGGCUUAACCCCGGGCCUGCAGUGGGUACGGGCAGACUAGAGUGCGGUAGGGGAGACUGGAAUUCCUGGUGUAGCGGUGAAAUGCGCAGAUAUCAGGAGGAACACCGGUGGCGAAGGCGGGUCUCUGGGCCGUAACUGACGCUGAGGAGCGAAAGCAUGGGGAGCGAACAGG
rnacentral:rRNA from 1 species